UUGCUUUUUGACCUUAGGGGGAUCUAACUCCAAGUUUUUCUACUACUCAACCAAAAUGUCACCAUCCACCCUAGCCAAGCCACGUUAUAACCCUAAAAGACCUCUAAUGUGUGUGCACAAAGUGAACCGAAUGAAUUCUUAGAUUACUUGCAAAAUUAUUGUUGACUUGCAUUGAUGUGUUGAUCUGAGUGAAUUACCCAAACUGAAGAGUGCAUGUGAGUAGUGUGAUGGAAUCAUAGAGCCGUGGUCGGAAAGUGUGAACUACUUGAAAAUGUCUUGCGGGAACGAUUGUGCAAUUGAGCAUUGUUUGCAGGUGGAUCAUUGAUCAUCAGGUGAUUCUCACGUAUGUAUGAUUCGAGUGAAUUUAAGGAAAAUGCCAAGGUCUUGACACAAAAACUUGAGGUAAAAGUUGUUUCCUUGAGGACAAGGAAAAGUUUAAGUUUGCGGUUGUGAUGACGAAUCGUCACACUCUCUAAUCCAUGCCUAUUUUAGCAACAUUAGAUG
rnacentral:lncRNA from 1 species